AUUGAACGCUGGCGGCAUGCUUUACACAUGCAAGUCGAACGGUAACAGGCCUUCGGGUGCUGACGAGUGGCGAACGGGUGAGUAAUGCAUCGGAACGUGCCCAGUCGUGGGGGGUAACGCAGCGAAAGCUGUGCUAAUACCGCAUACGAUCUAUGGAUGAAAGCGGGGGACCGUAAGGCCUCGCGCGAUUGGAGCGGCCGAUGUCAGAUCAGGUAGUUGGUGGGGUAAAGGCCUACCAAGCCGACGAUCUGUAGCUGGUCUGAGAGGACGACCAGCCACACUGGGACUGAGACACGGCCCAGACUCCUACGGGAGGCAGCAGUGGGGAAUUUUGGACAAUGGGCGCAAGCCUGAUCCAGCAAUGCCGCGUGCAGGAAGAAGGCCUUCGGGUUGUAAACUGCUUUUGUACGGAACGAAACGGUCUGGGUUAAUACCCUGGGCUAAUGACGGUACCGUAAGAAUAAGCACCGGCUAACUACGUGCCAGCAGCCGCGGUAACAC
rnacentral:rRNA from 1 species